rnacentral:rRNA from 1 species
UUGAUUAUGGCUCAGGACGAACGCUGGCGGCGCGCCUAACACAUGCAAGUCGAACGAGCGAGAGAGAGCUUGCUUUCUCGAGCGAGUGGCGAACGGGUGAGUAACGCGUGAGGAACCUGCCUCAAAGAGGGGGACAACAGUUGGAAACGACUGCUAAUACCGCAUAAGCCCACGACCCGGCAUCGGGUAGAGGGAAAAGGAGCAAUCCGCUUUGAGAUGGCCUCGCGUCCGAUUAGCUAGUUGGUGAGGUAAUGGCCCACCAAGGCGACGAUCGGUAGCCGGACUGAGAGGUUGAACGGCCACAUUGGGACUGAGACACGGCCCAGACUCCUACGGGAGGCAGCAGUGGGGAAUAUUGCACAAUGGGGGAAACCCUGAUGCAGCGACGCCGCGUGGAGGAAGAAGGUCUUCGGACUGUAAACUCCUGUUGUUGAGGAAGAUAAUGACGGUACUCAACAAGGAAGUGACGGCUAACUACGUGCCAGCAGCCGCGGUAAAACGUAGGUCACAAGCGUUGUCCGGAAUUACUGGGUGUAAAGGGAGCGCAGGCGGGAAGACAAGUUGGAAGUGAAAUCCAUGGGCUCAACCCAUGAACUGCUUUCAAAACUGUUUUUCUUGAGUAGUGCAGAGGUAGGCGGAAUUCCCGGUGUAGCGGUGGAAUGCGUAGAUAUCGGGAGGAACACCAGUGGCGAAGGCGGCCUACUGGGCACCAACUGACGCUGAGGCUCGAAAGUGUGGGUAGCAAACAGGAUUAGAUACCCUGGUAGUCCACACUGUAAACGAUGAUUACUAGGUGUUGGAGGAUUGACCCCUUCAGUGCCGCAGUUAACACAAUAAGUAAUCCACCUGGGGAGUAC